AUACGUAGGGGGCGAGCGUUGUCCGGAAUGACUGGGCGUAAAGGGCGUGUAGGCGGCCGAUUAAGUCUGGAGUGAAAGUCCCGCUUUCAAGGUGGGAAUUGCUUUGGAGACUGGUUGGCUUGAGUGCGGAAGAGGUAAGUGGAAUUCCCAGUGUAGCGGUGAAAUGCGUAGAGAUUGGGAGGAACACCAGUGGCGAAGGCGAGUUACUGGGCCGUAACUGACGCUGAGGCGCGAAAGCGUGGGGAGCGAACAGGAUUAGAUACCCUGGUAGUCCACGCUGUAAACGAUGAAUGCUAGUUGUAGGGGGUAUCGACCCCUCCUGUGCCGGAGUAAACGCAAUAAGCAUUCCGCCUGGGGAGUACGGCCGCAAGGUUGAGACUCAAAGGAAUUGACGGGG
rnacentral:rRNA from 1 species